UUCGUUCCUCUAUGUAGUGAGUGGUAAAGUCUCUCCGCUCCGCAAGCUCUCUCGUUUCGUUGGUUGGUGGUGGACCAGGAUUUCUUCUAAAACUAGUUUCUGAUCUUUUUAUUUCAAUCUCAAACUUGCUUAUUUUUUUUUCUUUCUAGGGUUUGGUUUCUUCUAACUUGUUGUUCUGUUCUUUUUUUCAGGUUUUGGGUGAUACUUUUAUCAAUCGAUGACGAUGGCUUUGAUUGAAACGCACGCUUCUUCUCUGUGCCACGUCUUCAGGGGUUUUGUUCCUCUGACUCUCUAGUACAGCAUCUUCACUCGUUCGUCUCGUUGGUGGUUUUGGAUUAUGCUUUGAUCGAUCGGUGAUGAUUGCUUUUUAAUGGACACGCUUCUUCUGUGUGCUACGUCUUAAUGGAUCGUGUGAUGGCUUUGACUGAUCCUUCCUUGUCACUCUCAUUCAAUGUUGCUCUUCCGGGUAUUGGAUGAUGCUUUGAUCGAUCAGUGUAUGGCUUUGAUGGACACGCUUCUUCCCUGUUCUAAAGUCUUCAUGGAUCGAGGAGGCACCUGGAUUGUUGACAGAGGUUCAAAUAGAAAACAUUGUGGGAGUUUAACUUUCAGAUGUUCUUACUGUGUACACACACAUUCAGAUGAGAGAUGCUCCACAAAUUCUUUCCCAGACGAAUCGUGGAUAUUUCUCGUCUAUCAUCUGUUUAGAGUAUAUGGAAAAACACUUAUGCUGAAUUAUUGUAGCUGGACUUGAUGGAGAUAUGGACUUGAUGGAGCUAAACAACCUUUGUUGGAGAGUAGCCAGCGGAAACAAUCCGGUGAUGGCUUCAGAUGCAGAUGCAGGGCACAACUGAUCUUACUCAACUUUUUUUACUUGUUCCCUCCUUAGUUACUUCAGAUUUUUGUGUCUUUUUUCUUCAGGAUGCAAGCAAGGUUAUUGGUGGUGGGAUGAGAGGCAUGACUGGAUUGCUAUGAGAAACCCUCAUUGCUUGAUACAUAUGAGGGUAUACACUUUGAGGGGCUUGUCUCGUGUUUGAUGCUAAUAGAUUGGCUAUCUGAUAUAUGUAACCAGGGACAACAAUCUUGCUCAGCAAUUCAGAUAGGCUUCAGAUGCAGAGCUCUACCGACCAAGACGAAGUGCAAUUGAUAAUGGUGCUGAUUGUUCCUGUUCUCCUAGCUUCACCCACCAUAUAUAGCUGACAUAUUCUAGGUUUGCCUUGAAGGUCUUCCCAAAGGUUUUCGAGGACACGUUUGGAAGACUCGAUUUACAAGAACACUGAACACCUCACAGCCUCCGUAUCUUUACCUGCACUGCCUUAGCUCAGAUUGGUGGUGGUGUAGCAACGCGGCGGCGGUGGCGGACCCCUACAAGUUCGACGGCGGAAGAAACCCAAACCAGAGCCCUGGUUUGGUAAUUAUUUUCCAACUCACCGAUCAAGAAGAAGCUUCGGACAACAACAAAUGGGCUUGUUCCCUUUCUUACUAAACAAGUCCAUCAGCAGAAGAGCAACCAAGAGACCCACCAAGUUGUUAGGUCUUCCCUUCUCGGUCUUCGCCGCGCCGGAGAAGCAAAUCGGACGAAAUCGGAGAGAUGAAGCAAAGCAAACACGAGAGAGUCAAUUUGAAACGACGAGAUUGUUGUGUCUGCCUCUGACAUUAUUACUCAGGGGCUUGUCUCGUAUUUGAUGCUAAUCCAUUGGGUGAUCAAUCCAGGGCAACUCCUAACAAGCCACAGGAGUUGGAUGAUGCAGUGCUCAGCAAUCCGGUUAGAUAUGCAGAGCUCUGCCGAUCUGUACCUCUUGUGGCGCUGACAUAUAUUUGAGCCCGUCAUUGAGAACACUUUGAUGAAUCACCAUGUUACCCUUGGGGAAGAUCACUUACAUUGCUCCAGCUGGUUAAUAUUCUCUCAAGGUUCCUUAAGAGGAUACAGUGAUAGAGCUUGAAUAACAGGGGAUCAAGAAAUCUUAUUACACCGUGCUUCAGCGUGUCCUUGAUGCCCUUGUUCCUUCUGUUCUUGGUGGAACCUGUAUCAUUCCUGGUGCUUUUGGCUGUGGGAAAACUGUUGUCUGCCAGACACUUUCCAAGUACUCCAACUCUGAUGCUGUUGUGGAGAGAGAGGAAAUGAAACUGCAGAGGAAUCAUAAUUGCUGACUCUUUUAGAGAUAUGGGAUACACUGUUAGUACGAUGGCAGACUCUAUUCCCGUUGGGCAGAAGCAUUGAGAGAAAUUUCAGGACGACUGGUAAUCAUUUGCGUUUCACUUUUUCAGGCUGUUAUUGUGCAGGUCUUCUGGGGUUUCGAGCCAGCUAAGCAAUGGCCAAGCCUUGUUAGCCUCGUAUGCUAAACGGCAUUGGAAUCUUUCUAUGAGAAGGUCAACCCAGAUUUCAUUGACAUCAUCAUGACAAAGGCCAGAGAGGUACAGAGGGAAGACUACCUUGCUCAAAACGCGUUUACGCCAUAUGACAAAUUCUGCCCUUUCUACAAGUGCGUGAGGAUGAUGCGUAACAUUAUCCAUUUCUACAAUCUAGCCAACCAGGCGGUUGAGGGAGUAGCUGGAAUGGGCGGUCAAAAGAUUACUUCCACAAGGAUUGGAUGAGUUCAGGUUGAAUCAAGGAGCCGCAUUGCUGCUUACUUUAAUGCAAAGCUCACAGUAAGAUGUCCAAGAGAGAUCAGCUACUGGACUUGCAAGUUUCGUAGUUAUCGAAGAUGAGAAUGCUAGUAUAGACUGUGGAAGAGCUGAAGCAGUUAUGAAAGAUGGAGGUAGCCGUCUUCUUCUAGAACUUGCGAAAUCGUGGCGAGAAGGGCUUAGCUUCAGUCAGAAGCUGCAAAGGCUAUUGCAAAUUUGUUGGUAAAUGCUAUGUUGCAAAGUCUGCUGCUGAAGAAGGAGGAAUCAGAAUCUUUGCUGGUUGGCAAAGUCAAUGAACUGACUUGUGGCGGAGGAAGCUGCUGGUUGACAAGUGUACAUGCUCUUGUGAUGUUAGAUCGGAAUUGCAAGUUCGAGGGAGUGCAAGGACAGGCUGCUCGUGCUUUAGCUAAUUUGGCUGCUCGUGGGGAUAGCAAUUAGACAAGAAGCUGCUGGUGCGUUAUGGAAUUUGUUGUUUGAUGAUAAGAAUCGAGAAUCGCUCGCUGCAGCUGGUGGCGUUGAAGGUUUGCCUUCCUUGUUCAAAUGCUUCGACAAGAGCUGCUGGUGCACUUUAGGGAUUAUCGGUGUCAGAAGCAAACAGAAGCAUAGCAAGGCAACACCAUCUUAUAUACAUAGUACUCCAACACUGAUGCUGUUGUGUAUGCUGGUUGUGGAGAGAGAGGAAAUGAAACGGCGGCUGAGAUAGAUUUCUCUCUCUCUCUCUCAUUCUGAUCUGCAUAUGGUCUUGGCCCCGCCGGAGAAGCAAAUCGGACGGAAUCAGAGAGAUGACGAAGAAGCAAACACGAGAGUCUCUCUCUCUCUCUCUCUCUUUGCCUUUCAUCACUCCUGGUGGUGAAACCCUAAUCCGUAUGAGGGAUGAUGAUGAUGCAAGCAAAGCCAUGGUUCCUUAAUAGAGGUUUUAUGUUUCACUCUAGGUACGUUAUAUGGAGAAUUAGGGUUCCCUGGAGCCUUAUAACUCUCAAAGCCUUGCGUUUGUUCCAUAGAGUUAGGUGUUUCAUGGGUGGUCCAAUUAAAAUCUCUCUCGCUGGAUCCUAAUUCUCGAACAUGGCGUGUCUCUUGUUCAACCACCCUCUACUUUGCCGGCCCUACAUCUUCCUCUCUCUCGUAGAAUAGCACAAGCACAACUGUAACCAGGGGCAACAAUCUUCGCUCAUCAAUCCUGUUAGAUGGCUUCAGAUGCAGAGCUCUACCCACCUAUCCAAUAAUGAUGGAGGGAGCAGCAUUGCGCUGGUUCUUGCACAGGAAUAAAACCAUGGAAAGAUUCAAAAUUUAUUGCUUCGGGAUAAGCUUACUCGGAUUUCGAAACUAUAUACUUCGUACUAUAAAAUACUAUGGUUACGACAGAUUUAAAACAAUAACAAAAAUAUACUUUUAUCAGAUUCUACAUUUAAUGUGGUUGUGAAGAAAAAUCUAGGCGGAGUCUUUCUCUUGACCAUUCACUUCCCUCUGGAUUAUCCUUUCAAACCACCAAAGGUUGCGUUUAGGACAAAAGUGUUUCAUCCUAAUGUCAACAGCAACGGAAGCAUUUGCCUCGACAAUUCUGAAAGAACAAUGGAGCCCUGCACUCACCAUAUCGAAGAUGUUGCUUUCGAUCUGGACUCAGAAGUUAAGAAGAAAAUGAACUAUUUUGGAAGUGUUAACUUUUAUUCUCGAACCAUUAUAUAUAUGAACUAUACUAAGAUAGGUUGAAAGUUUUUAGAAAAAGGUUAUGAUAAGUUGUUAUUGCAUUACACAAACACGAUCCACGUUAUUACACGAAACCCAAAUCUAGCAUUUCUAUAAA